GACGAACGCUGGCGGCGUGCUUAACACAUGCAAGUCGAACGGAAAGGCCCUGCUUUUGUGGGGUUCUCGAGUGGCGAACGGGUGAGUAACUCGUGAGUAACCUGCCCUUGCCUUUGGGAUAACUUCAGGAAACUGGGGCUAAUACCGGAUAGGAGCUCCUGCUGCAUGGUGGGGGUUGGAAAGUUUCGGCGGUUGGGGAUGGACUCGCGGCUUAUCAGCUUGUUGGUUGGGUAGUGGCUUACCAAGGCUUUGACGGGUAGCCGGCCUGAGAGGGUGACCGGCCACAUUGGGACUGAGAUACGGCCCAGACUCCUACGGGAGGCAGCAGUGGGGAAUAUUGCACAAUGGGCGGAAGCCUGAUGCAGCAACGCCGCGUGCGGGAUGACGGCCUUCGGGUUGUAAACCGCUUUCGCCUGUGACGAAGCGUGAGUGACGGUAAUGGGUAAAGAAGCACCGGCUAACUACGUG
rnacentral:rRNA from 1 species